GCGCUAUGAUUGUCGGAUGAAGGUGCAAGACCCACUGUUUCGAAGCUAAGAGAUAGGGUUACAAUAUUGUAGAAGGUCACUCAACCCAGUUUCGAGUGUAACCAGGUCAAAAAUGCAAGAUACCACACCAGAAUCACAAAAACAGGUUUACAAAACGCAUUCCGGCAUAAACAUCAUAACUCAGCCUACACAAGUCCAAAUUCAGAAAUUCCAAAGCCACCCGAAAGCUUAGAAACAGGGUUACAUUUCAUCAGAAGACCUAAACAACUAAUUCGGAAGCAUUCCAGACCAAAUUCACCAAUUACAGUCGUAAUUCUCCAAUUCUGGGUAAACCAGGACAGCAAGGGUAAUUCCAUUUUUUCACAAGAUACACUGCUCCGAUUGACCUGAAAUUUUACAGGCACCUCUAAAAUGUC
rnacentral:lncRNA from 1 species